rnacentral:rRNA from 1 species
AAUGAACGCUGGCGGCAUGCCUAACACAUGCAAGUCGAACGAGACCUUCGGGUGUAGUGGCUCACGGGUGAGUUACGUGUGGGACCCUGGCGUUAGGUUCGGAAUUACACCACGAACCGGGUGCUAAUACCGGGUAAUGUCUUCGGACCCAAGAUUUAUCGCCUUUGGAUGGGCCCGUGAUGCAUUAGCUAGUUGUUAGGGUAAAAGACUACCAAGGCGACGAUUGAUAGCUGGUCUGAGAGGGUGAUCAGCCACACUGGAACUGAGACACGGCCCAGACUCCUACGGGAGGCAGCAGUGGGGAAUAUUGGACAAUGGGGGAAACCCUGAUGCAGCUAUGGCGCGUGAGCGAUGAAGGCCUUAGGGUAGUAAAGCUCUGUCAUAUGGGAAGAUAAGGACGGUACCAGAGGAGUAAGCCCCGGCUAACUACGUG